rnacentral:rRNA from 12 species
UCUGGGGGCCACACUGUCCUGUGAGUGCCCAAUCCUGGUCACAUCGUAGAAGCUAAACAGGGCAUGGUCUGGUUAUUAUUUGGAUGGGAGACCGCCUUGGAAGACCAGCAACUUCUAGAC